rnacentral:rRNA from 1 species
UACGUAGGUGGCAAGCGUUGUCCGGAUUUACUGGGCGUAAAGAGCGCGCAGGCGGUCGUUCAAGUCGCGUGUGAAAGCCCCCGGCUCAACUGGGGAGGGUCACGCGAUACUGAUCGACUCGAAGGCAGGAGAGGGUAGUGGAAUUCCCGGUGUAGUGGUGAAAUGCGUAGAUAUCAUUUGGAACGCCAAUGGUGAAAACAGGUUGCUGGGAGUGUGCUGACGCUGAGACACGAAAGCCAGGGGAGCGAACGGG